rnacentral:rRNA from 1 species
AGUGAACGCUGGCGGUAGGCCUAACACAUGCAAGUCGAACGGCAGCACAGUAAGAGCUUGCUCUUACGGGUGGCGAGUGGCGGACGGGUGAGGAAUACAUCGGAAUCUACUUUUUCGUGGGGGAUAACGUAGGGAAACUUACGCUAAUACCGCAUACGACCUACGGGUGAAAGCAGGGGAUCUUCGGACCUUGCGCGAUUGAAUGAGCCGAUGUCGGAUUAGCUAGUUGGCGGGGUAAAGGCCCACCAAGGCGACGAUCCGUAGCUGGUCUGAGAGGAUGAUCAGCCACACUGGAACUGAGAUACGGUCCAGACUCCUACGGGAGGCAGCAGUGGGGAAUAUUGGACAAUGGGCGCAAGCAUGAUCCAGCCAUACCGCGUGGGUGAAGAAGGCCUUCGGGUUGUAAAGCCCUUUUGUUGGGAAAGAAAAGCAGCAGGUUAAUACCCCGCUGUUCUGACGGUACCCAAAGAAUAAGCACCGGCUAACUUCGUG